GGAGCAAUCCAUGAGUAGAGUGGCAAACGGGUGAGUAACGCGUGGGCGACCUACCUUCGAGUGGGGGGUAACCUUCCGAAAGGAGGGCUAAUACCGCAUGACAUCCUGUGUUUGGAUACACGGAGAUCAAAGCCGGGGAUCGCAAGACCUGGCGCUUGGAGAGGGGCCCGCGUCCGAUUAGCUAGUUGGUGGGGUAAUGGCCCACCAAGGCGACGAUCGGUAUCCGGCCUGAGAGGGCGGACGGACACACUGGGACUGAGACACGGCCCAGACUCCUACGGGAGGCAGCAGUGGGGAAUUGUUCGCAAUGGGCGCAAGCCUGACGACGCAACGCCGCGUGGAGGAUGAAGACCUUCGGGUCGUAAACUCCUUUCGACCGAGAUGAAUUCCCGCCGGCCCAAUACGCCGGCGGGCUGACAGUAUCGGGAGAAGAAGCCCCGGCUAACUCCGUGCCAGCAGCCGCGGUAAUACGGGGGGGGCAAGCGUUGUUCGGAAUUACUGGGCGUAAAGGGUUCGUAGGUGGCUGGUUAAGUCAGACGUGAAAUCCCUCAGCUUAACUGGGGAACUGCGUCUGAGACUGGUCAGCUCGAGUGCAGGAGAGGAACGCGGAAUUCCAGGUGUAGCGGUGAAAUGCGUAGAUAUCUGGAGGAACACCGGUGGCGAAGGCGGCGUUCUGGACUGCAACUGACACUGAGGAACGAAAGCCAGGGGAGCAAACGGGAUUAGAUACCCCGGUAGUCCUGGCCC
rnacentral:rRNA from 1 species